CAUCACUACGCUAGAUGCAUAUCAAUAAGCGGAGGAAAAGAAACUAACAAGGAUUCCCUUAGUAACGGCGAGUGAAGCGGGAAGAGCUCAAAUUUGAAAUCUUCAAGGUUUACCUUGACGAAUUGUAGUUUAUAGAAGUGUUUUCUGUUGGAGUUUUGGUAAAAGUUCUUUGGAAUAGGACAUCAUAGAGGGUGAGAAUCCCGUAUUUGGUCCAUUAUUUCUAGCUUUGUGAUACACUUUCAACGAGUCGGAUUGUUUGGGAAUGCAGUCCAAAAUGGGUAGUAAAUUUCAUCUAAAGCUAAAUAUUGGCGAGAGACCGAUAGCGAACAAGUACCGUGAGGGAAAGAUGAAAAGAACUUUGAAAAGAGAGUUAAACAGUACGUGAAAUUGUCAAAAGGGAAGCGUUUGACACCAGUGUUGUUUUCUCGAAAAUCAAUUAAAAAUGAUGGGAUUUUGUGUUGUAUUGACUUUAUCAGCUUUCUGCACUUUUUUCUUAUCUUUUUUAAUGCACUUUUCGUUUAACAAGUCAACAUCAAUUUCUUUUGUUGUAAAAGAGUCAUUGGAAGGUGGCUUUUUCUUCGGAAAAAGUGUUUAUAGCCUUUGGCUUCUGCAAUCGGAGAGAUUGAGGUCUGCAGCGUAGAUCCUUCGGGGUUAGAUACAUUUGUGCUAAGCUAUAGUUCUUUAUAGACAACUUGUUGACUAUAAUCAAUCCUGUAACUUACUCGCUUAUGCUAUUUUACCUACGCUUAGGAUGUUGACACACGCGCGUGCUCG
rnacentral:rRNA from 1 species